AGAGCGAACGCUGGCGGCAGGCCUAACACAUGCAAGUCGAACGGACCCUUCGGGGUUAGUGGCGGACGGGUGAGUAACACGUGGGAACGUGCCUUUUGGUUCGGAAUAGCUCCUGGAAACGGGUGGUAAUGCCGAAUGUGCCCUUCGGGGGAAAGAUUUAUCGCCAUUAGAGCGGCCCGCGUCUGAUUAGCUAGUUGGUGAGGUAAUGGCUCACCAAGGCGACGAUCAGUAGCUGGUCUGAGAGGAUGACCAGCCACAUUGGGACUGAGACACGGCCCAAACUCCUACGGGAGGCAGCAGGUGGGGAAUCUUGCGCAAUGGGCGAAAGCCUGACGCAGCCAUCGCCGCGUGAAUGAUGGAA
rnacentral:rRNA from 1 species